ensembl:lncRNA
AUUGAUUUUAACACACAGACCAUUUUUAACAUUGAGAAAGGGAUCAUCAAGAAACAGUUCCCAUUUUCACAAGUUAAAUCCUAUGAAGACAGUGAAGGGAGGCGCUUCAGCAUCGCAUUUCAUGGGCGUGCAGAUUAUGAGCUGGAAGCAAUGUCUCUUGAAGAUAAAAGAAAAGUAGGUUAAUCUGCUGUAAUAACUUAUUUAUUAUCAUCAAUUUAAUAUUAGGAUGUGCUAUGUGUUGUGCAAAUGGAGAGGUUGAUAUAUCCUUAAUAUAUUUUUUUAACAGACUUUCACCUGAUUUACACCUUAGUGAUUGCACUAGGUUUACAUGGGACAUAGGAAUAUAAGUGUAGGGCAGAAUUCAGCAUCAAAUGGUUUUAUUUUCAGACAGACCUGUAAGGUGGCCCAUUGGAAAGGGGAACCCUUUAGCUCUGAAGAGAGAGUCCCUCAUGGUGAGAACUAAUUAGUAGGUACAAUUUUCUGUCCAGGUUCAUUUGACACUAGGCAUGGGUUCAACUGAAACGGGUCACAAAGCUGUCAAUGAAGCCGCUCCGAGUCUAGAGUUUGGGAUGAGACCUCAAACCAGACAAAUGUUACCUGUGUUUUAACUGAGUGCUUGGAGAUUUGCAGAAACUCUAAUUGUACAUUAAGUAAGGAAACAAUAUGAGAACAAUAACAGAGAGAUCUGUGUUUAACAAUAAGCCUUUUUAGGAGGAGGCUCACACAUCUACGUGUUUAGGCAUACCAGCAAAUUUGCAUUGAGCAACAUCACUUACUUAGUUUAUGUAAGAUGAGAUUAAUCUCCCUCUUUAGAUGUCCAUUUUAUUCAUGGAUACGUUUUAAAAAAACAACCCAUUAACAUAGGCUGCAAGGGUGCUGGUAUGUAAAACAUACACUAGCUACUGUCACUUAUUAUACAGAUAUCACACCUGGUGAACAAAGUUACCCAGAGUAAUUCAUACAGGAGACCUGCAGAGUCCUGCUCUGGAAGACCUGCCAAAUGUGAUGUGAUACAUGAAGGACUACUGGAUUUGCAGCAAGACAGUUUUGUAUCUAUUAAAUGGGUGAAAUAUUUGGUGCAGCUAAGUGAAGGAGAACUGAGUUUAUCUUGCAUCGACAACAAUGGAGAGAACAAGAAUGCAGACCCUGUAGCAAAGACAAUUAAUUUGUCAAAUGGAAAUGUGAGUGUCAUUAAAGAGAAUGGAUAUGAUACUUUCUCCGUCCAGACCAAGGAACACAAUUACUUGUUUCGAAUACCCUUUACUGUCCAGAAUAACAGGGCAGAGGACAUUAGCAAGCUCCAGAAUGAAUGGGUAUCGCUUAUAGACAGGUAUUGCCUGCUGUGGAAGAAUCGCUCAGAACCUCAGGAAGGCUUUGGAGAAGGCACCUCAGAGGCUGUAUAUGAAAAACUCAUCAUCGCUCCAAAUAAGCAGGCAGAAGGAGCCCAUUGCCUUGCUGUGGGUUACGAAGCACCACCCCGAUCAACCCCCCUCACAGAGGAGGCAACCCCAGCAUCAUCAUUUCCGCUUUCCAGAGUUCAGGCAGUGGUGCCACCACCACCUGCUUUCCCUCCGCCCGCCCGCCUCUCGCCAGCAUGGAAAAGAACAAAAGCUUUUCACUGGGAUGUUGUUCCUCAAGAGAAGGUCAGGAUAAAAGUAACUGCUCUUCAUCAUGAUCAAGUAGCUGGAGUGGGGAGGGGAAACAUUUUUUAAAAAAAUGACAGGACGUGCAACUAUGUUGCAUGUACUACUGCAGUAAUUAUCCAUGCAAGUGGAGUAAUUGUUCCAUGAAAGAACCUGGUCACCUAACUGCAUGUGCAAUUACCCAGUUUGCAAGUGGGAUUGCAGUAAAUAUUCAUUCACAUAGGUUGUGAAGUUGGACAUGCACAUUUUGCACAGGCAGUUGUACACUUGGUUGAAAAUCUAUAUGUUAAUGUAUUUAACAGUUACCAAGGAAUGAACCUGACAGUGUUCUCAUGCCAGUUUUUGUUCUUAAAUGUUGAGAAUAGGCAAAAUCCCCAGCACAUUAGCUGAAGAUGUUGUCACAGUUCAGGGCAACUG